CGGUACACAUACGAUACUGGUGCCCAGCUCUAGCUUGAGGCCCGUGUCUAAAUUGUCAACGUCAACUUCACAUUUUAUUUAUUUAUUUUUGUUUUGUGUAGUGUUUGGAAAACUAGGAAAAAUAUAUUUUUCUGCUUUUCAAUCAAAAUCAAAUCUUUAAAACUGGAGGACGUUUAUCAACAACCCAUACUUAAUACAAAAGCCAUAUUUUAGCGAGUAAGCGAUUUUAAGCGGCUUUAAGCGUCUUUAAGACAUCUCAUUCGAGCGAUCAAGUCAUGACGUCACCGUAUAAGGCGCUUUAAGCGUUUGUUAGCGGUCUCUUGAGAUCGCUAAUAAACUGGAUAUGUCAAAGUCAAAGGGAAGCUAUACAAACAAUAAUAAACAAUAAAUAUUUAUAUCAUUUUUUUGAUAUUUUUUUAGA